CCUACGGGAGGCAGCAGUGAGGAAUAUUGGUCAAUGGACGAGAGUCUGAACCAGCCAAGUAGCGUGAAGGAUGACUGCCCUAUGGGUUGUAAACUUCUUUUAUAUGGGAAUAAAAUGUUCCACGUGUGGGAUUUUGUAUGUACCAUAUGAAUAAGGAUCGGCUAACUCCGUGCCAGCAGCCGCGGUAAUACGGAGGAUCCGAGCGUUAUCCGGAUUUAUUGGGUUUAAAGGGAGCGUAGGUGGAUUGUUAAGUCAGUUGUGAAAGUUUGCGGUUCAACCGUAAAAUUGCAGUUGACACUGGCAGUCUUGAGUACAGUAGAGGUGGGCGGAAUGCGUGGUGUAGCGGUGAAAUGCUUAGAUAUCACGAAGAACUCCGAUUGCGAAGGCAGUUCACUGGACUGCAACUGACACUGAGGCUCGAAAGUGUGGGUAUCAAACAGGAUUAGAUACCCCGGUAGUC
rnacentral:rRNA from 1 species